GACCACUACCACCACUACGACGACUACGACGACUACGACGACUACGACGACUACGACGACGACGACCACCACCACCACCACGACCACCACGACCACCACGACCACCACGACCACCACGACUACGACCACUACGACCAGUACGACCACUACGACCACGACGACGACUACGACUACGACUACGACUACUACGACUACUACGACUACUACUACGACUACUACUACGACUACUACGACGACUACUACGAAUACGACUUCGACCACGACGACGACCACGACCACAACGACGACCACGACGACGACCACGACGACUACCACGACGACUACCACGACGACGACCACGACGACUACCACGACGACGACCACGACGACCACGACAACUACCACGACUACGACGACUACUACGACGACGACGAGGACGACGACGACGACUACGACUACUACGACUACUACGACUACUACGACUACUACGACUACUACGACUACGACUACGACUACGACGACUACGACUACGACUACGACUACUACGACUACGACUACGACUACUAUGACUACGAUUACGACUACUACGACUACAACUACUACGACUACUACGACUACUACGACUACUACGACUACUACGACUACUACAACUACUACGACUACGACUACUACUACGACGACUAGGACUACGACUACGACGACGACUACGACGACGACGACUACUACUACUACUACUAUACUACGACUACUAUGACUACGACGACGACUACGACGACGACUACGACGACGACUGCGACGAUGACUACGACUACGACUACGAAUAUGACUACGACUACGACUACCACUACGACUACGACGACUACUACGACUACGACGAUGACUACGACUACGACUACGAAUAUGACUACGACUACGACUACGACUACGACUACGACGACUACUACGACUACGACUACGACGACUACUACCACUACGACUACGACUACGACGACUACUACCACUACGACUACGACUACGACCACUACGACUACGACCACUACGACUACGACCACUACGACUACGACCACUACGACUACUACUACGACUACGACGACUACGACUACGACGACUACGACGACUACGACGACUACUACGACUACUACGACUACUACGACUACUACGACUACUACGACUACUACUACUACGACUACGACUACUACGACUACGACUACGACUACUACGACUACGACUACUACGACUACUACGACUACGACGACUACGACGACUACGACGACUACCACCACUACGACGACUACGACGACUACGACGACUACGACGACGACGACCACCACCACCACCACGACCAACACGACCACCACGACCACCACGACCACCACGACCACCACGACCACCACGACCACCACGACUACGACCACUACGACCAGUACGACCACUACGACCACGACGACGACUACGACUACGACUACGACUACUACGACUACUACGACUACUACGACUACUACUACGACUACUACUACGACUACUACGACGACUACUACGAAUACGACUUCGACUACGACUACU
rnacentral:lncRNA from 1 species